UACAGAGGCCCCAAGCAUUAUCCGGAAUCACUGGGCGUAAAGGGUGUGUAGGCGGUCAUAUUAGUCUUUUGUUAAAGUUCCAGGGCUUAACCCAGGAAAUGCAGGGGAAACGGUAUGACUUAGAGGACGCGAGAGGUAUAUGGAACUCAUGGUGUAGGGGUGAAAUCCGUUGAUAUCAUGGGGAACACCAAAUGCGAAGGCAAUAUACUGGCGCGCUCCUGACGCUGAAACACGAAAGCGUGGGAAUCGAACGGG
rnacentral:rRNA from 1 species